CCUUUCAGUUCAUGUUUCUGCAUUAUAAAGUAUUUGAUGCAGUAAACAAGUACAAAUAUCAGUCAUGGGUUAGCUUGUGGUCCUUCGGGGUCAUGAGCACCGUUUAGCAUUCCGAGUACCAGAUUUGGGGCGUUACAAUAACCUGUACUAAACUAUAUUUUUGGGCCCUUGGCCUCAGAUUUGCUUCACCGGUAUUAGUUUACAAUUUUUCCUGCGAGGCCCAAAUGAAUGAAUAAAUGAAUAACAAAAUGAAUAAAGACAAGUAAAGCAACAAUAAGAAAAAUGAUACAUUUCAAGUCUCUUAGCUACUCCAACAAUGGGAUUUGACCCAUUUUCUUCUAUCAACAACAAUUUCUUUCUCUAAAAUCAUGCUAAUUUGACGGUCUCGAGGGGAUGACUUAAAAGGGAAAUAGGCCACGUUGGCCAAUCAUCAAAAUGCAUAUGGGAAGAGUCCAUUUAGGACUCAAAAACAAUGUUCCAAAUUCGUUUGACAUGCACCAAAGAAAAUAAUAAGAAUUAAUUAUCAUUUUUAUGAAAUUAAAGAAAGAAGAUAAGCGAAUUAAUGGACUGAACAAAAUGCCAUACCAAGUUAAACGUAAAUGGAACAGGUUAAUAAUAAAAAUGAUAAACCAAAUUAUUUGACCAAGAAAGAAAUAUUAGAACAGGUGAAGAGAUGAGAAUCAUGAAUAUAUUUCCCUGAAAAAGUAAACCCAACAUAAUUCUGGGAAGGGGCUUUUAUCUUGAAUUGGUCCAGUCAUUUCACAAACCACUCUAAAUAGUAGACAUGCUUCACUAAUCUUUUUCCUUUGUUCUAAAAAAAUAACAAAUAUUAAUAAAAUUUCAAGGAUAAUACAAGCUGAACUUCUGAGCUCAAGCAAAACAUGUAAAUUUCAAAAUAGGGGAAAAUGACUUAUUCGCAAUCAAUCUAGCCUAAAUGAGUUCAAUCAACAUUAAGAUGAAACUAUUUGAAGCAAAUGACUAAUAAAGGCUAUAGUUUCCAGAACCUUUCACAUAUAAUGCAACAACAGCAAGGAAUAAAUGUUUGUAAAAAUGUUCUAAAUCAAGAUCUUUCAAGAGUGAGCACUAGUCAUGACAAAGACAUCCCAUGCUUAUUCCUAACUUAAAUGAUUUGAAUUCUAUCAAAAACAUAAUUCUUCUUUGACUUUUAAACACCUAAGAGGUGAGGUAGGAAUAUAAAGAGAAAAAAGUAUGCUAAUGCAGUCAUAAGAUCAAAUGAUCUCAGAUUUCUUUUAAAAAAAUCAAACGCAUGAGAGAUAAGCAACUUGACAAUCUGAGAUCUGGGAGCAAACAAGGAAAUUUGAACUAAUUUUUUCAAAGUUUCCCCUUGAGCAUUACCAAUCCCAUCCUUUCAUGUCCAUAGCUAAAAUAUGGUACAUAUUCAAACCAUAAAGAAACAGAAGGCUAAAAGAAAGACACCAACUAUUUGAAAGUUAUUACGAUGAUCAUGUAAUGAGAAUUUUAAAUCAAUACUUUAAAUCAUGCCAGGUAGAACAUUAGGCCAAAGUCAAAUCUUAGAUUGAACCAAAAAAAAGUGCUAAAGAAGAUUCACAUUUAUUUUAUAUUUUUUAAUCACAUACAGAUGUGAAAUAAUGUCAUUCUUAUGCUUAAAACAAUCAUUCACGCCAAGGAAAUGUUAAAGAUGAAAACUUUUAAAGUAAUACAAUGGUAAAAAACUAGACAUUAGGUAGUCCUAAGUUCGUUCCAUCAUGAUGCUUCAAAAAAAGAACCAAAAAAAUAUUUCAUCUCCUCUUAAUCUAUUAAAAUAUUCCUCGGAGAAUCCUUAACACAAAGAACCUACUCAAUUUCCAUUCUCUAAUGAUUUCGAAGAAUCAAGCGAGAACAGAAUAUCAAUUAUAAGUUGAUUUUUAUCCUUAAACACUAUUACACUCUAAAACACAUAAAUAUUUCAUUUUUAAAUAUUUUAUGAUCCUGAGACAAAGGCAUGAAUUUAGAGCAGUGACAAACAAUUGCAUAACUAUUAUAAAAUUUUAUAUAAAUCCUAUGGCUUUGAGGACUUCUAUAGAAAACAAUCUUAGCAUCAUCACGAUGAAUAAAACAUUACUACUACAAUCGAAUAAAUGAAAAGAAGAAGGAUAAAAUGCAAAAUUCUUAAAAAGGAGGGAGUGUUACCUAUUUCAGAGCAACAAAAUGAGACUCAAGCUUUCGAAGAUAUCUCGACCACCAUCGGAAAUCCUCCGCGACUCCAAGAAACUUCACGUAAUUGAUAAAUUCUCAUGACAAAUAUAUUUUUUACUAGAAAAAUUGACUUUUUUUCUCAAAAAGUUUUUUCAACCCUUCCAGACUUGUCCAAUUUUGCUCCAAAGAGAGCCUUUUAUAGGAAAACUUUUGAAUUGAGUUUUGGGUCCUCAACUCAUGUCGGAUAGACACUUUCAAGGGAAUUUUAGGGAUCUUAAAAAAAGGAGAAAUUUUGAUUGAGGAUGAGGAUAGGGUUUCUAUCGAAAACUUGUACCAAUUUUUGGAUUUUCUAAAGAAAUUUUGAAUGAACUCGACCAAUAACAAUUGGGGAAAAGAAUUAUCCCCCAAUAACCAAUGGAAUUAACCCAUACAGGUAUGAAUUCAUCUAAAUUAUAAAUUAGAGAACCCAUCUCGGCACUCUUUAGAAGAUUCCAAUAUUUUUG
rnacentral:lncRNA from 1 species